AUGCUUAACUGGAGAGUGGGUACUAUAGUCAUGAAGGUUUUACUUAUGGAAAGGCUUGUCUAUUUCACUCCAAAUGUGCUGACCAUUAAAUCUUCCCCAGAUGAAAAAACUCAACUUCAUAAUGUCUAGUAAUGGGGAAAAGUAUUUGCAUUAUACCCUG